GGGGACGUAGCUCAAUUGGACGGAGCUCCAGAUUGUCGAUCUGGAGGUUGCGGGUUCGAGCCCCGUCGUCCCCGCCA
rnacentral:tRNA from 1 species